CGGAACGUGCCUAGUAGUGGGGGAUAACUACUCGAAAGAGUAGCUAAUACCGCAUGAGAUCUAAGGAUGAAAGCAGGGGACCUUUGGGCCUUGCGCUACUAGAGCGGCUGAUGGCAGAUUAGGUAGUUGGUGGGAUAAAAGCUUACCAAGCCGACGAUCUGUAGCUGGUCUGAGAGGACGACCAGCCACACUGGGGCUGAGACACGGCCCAGACUCCUACGGGAGGCAGCAGUGGGGAAUUUUGGACAAUGGGCGAAAGCCUGAUCCAGCAAUGCCGCGUGUAGGAUGAAGGCCCUCGGGUUGUAAACUACUUUUGUACGGAACGAAAAGCUCUCUUCUAAUAAAGGAGAGUGAUGACGGUACCGUAAGAAUAAGCACCGGCUAACUACGUGCCAGCAGCCGCGGUAAUACGUAGGGUGCGAGCGUUAAUCGGAAUUACUGGGCGUAAAGCGUGCGCAGGCGGUUAUGUAAGACAGAGGUGAAAUCCCCGGGCUCAACCUGGGAACGGCCUUUGUGACUGCAUAGCUAGAGUACGGUAGAGGGGGAUGGAAUUCCGCGU
rnacentral:rRNA from 1 species